rnacentral:piRNA from 1 species
GACAUCUACCAGUUUCUUCGAAUG